GGAGACACACGGCGGGUGCUAACGUCCGUCGUGAAGAGGGAAACAACCCAGACCGCCAGCUAAGGUCCCAAAGUCAUGGUUAAGUGGGAAACGAUGUGGGAAGGCCCAGACAGCCAGGAUGUUGGCUUAGAAGCAGCCAUCAUUUAAAGAAAGCGUAAUAGCUCACUGGUCGAGUCAGCCUGCGCGGAAGAUGUAACGGGGCUAAACCAUGCACCGAAGCUGCGGCAGCGACGCUUAUGCGUUGUUGGGUAGGGGAGCGUUCUGUAAGCCUGUGAAGGUGUGCUGUGAGGUAUGCUGGAGGUAUCAGAAGUGCGAAUGCUGACAUAAGUAACGAUAAAGCGGGUGAAAAGCCC
rnacentral:rRNA from 1 species